UGGCAGCAAUAAUCUAACUCCAGAAACUAUUAAAAGUGUUCAAAAGUGCUCAAAGUGUAAUAAACGAUUUGCUCCCAGAUAUUUCUAAAGACAGAUAGUAAAAUUACACAUGAAGUAAAUUAAAUGAAAUUAUUAGUGACUUGAGCAUCGAUGUAUUUGAGUAAACAGUACUGUAUCUUUAAAGUAACGAUACUGUAAAAUCUGAAAAAUGGUGAUGUAUUAGCUAGAAAAACAACAAACUAAAUAAAGUAAUCAGAAUGA